GCCCACCUCAAGAUGAGAUUUCCCAUAGCAUAAGCUAGUAAGACCCCUUGAAGACUACAAGGUUGAUAGGUCAGAGGUGUAAGUGCGGCAACGUAUUUAGCUGACUGAUACUAAUAGGUCGAGGGCUUGAUCAAU
rnacentral:rRNA from 1 species